rnacentral:rRNA from 1 species
GACGAACGCUGGCGGCGUGCCUAAUACAUGCAAGUCGAGCGCUGAAGGUUGGUACUUGUACCAACUGGAUGAGCAGCGAACGGGUGAGUAACGCGUGGGGAAUCUGCCUUUGAGCGGGGGACAACAUCUGGAAACGAAUGCUAAUACCGCAUAAAAACUUUAAACACAUGUUUUAAGAUUGAAAGAUGCAAUUGCAUCACUCAAUGAUGAUCUCGCGUUGUAUUAGCUAGUUGGUGAGGUAAAGGCUCACCAAGGCGAUGAUACAUAGCCGACCUGAGAGGGGGGUCGGCCACAAUGGGACUUGGACACGGCCCAAACUCCUUCGGGAAGCAGCAGGAAGGGAUCUUCGGGAAAUGACGGAAGUCUGACCGGGGAACGGCGGGGGGAGUGAUAAGGGUUUCGGAACGGAAAACUCUUUUGAUAAGGGAGAACGAAGGGGGGAGUGGAAAGCUCAUCAAGUGACGGUAACUACCCAGAAAGGGACGGCUAACUACGUG